rnacentral:snRNA from 1 species
CUUUCUACAUUCACAACAUGUGU